rnacentral:rRNA from 1 species
UACAACAUAACAUUAAUGUAAUAAAUGCCAUUAGAACUUCGUAGUUAAGCACGCUCAAGCUAGAGUAGUACUGGGAUGGGUUACCACCCAGGAAGUCCCAAUGUUUUAC